ACUUUGGGGCAGGGGUUUGAUCCUUUGUGAUGGUAGAUUUUGAAUUCACUAUUUUUUUUAUAUAAUCGCCAUCCUUUAUUUUAUUUUAUUUUCGUAACUUUUUGAUUUAAUUUAAUCAUUUUGUAUCCUCUAUUUAAAUCAAAUUAUUUUAAAACACUUGUUGAUUUUGUUUUAUUUUAAUUUUUAAUUUUUAAGUGUGUGAAUAAAUUUUUUGUAGAUUUUAUUUUAUUUUCAUUUUAAUUUUUAAGUGUGUGAGUAAAAAACUUAUUUAUUUAUGCAUUCAUUUAUACUC
rnacentral:lncRNA from 1 species